UACGUAGGGUGCAAGCGUUGUCCGGAAUUAUUGGGCGUAAAGGGCUCGUAGGCGGUUUGUCGCGUCGGGAGUGAAAACACCGGGCUUAACUCGGUGCUUGCUUUCGAUACGGGCAGACUAGAGGCAUGCAGGGGAGAACGGAAUUCCUGGUGUAGCGGUGAAAUGCGCAGAGUAUCAGGAGGAACACCGGUGGCGAAGGCGGUUCUCUGGGCAUGUCCUGACGCUGAGGAGCGAAAGUGUGGGGAGCGAACAGG
rnacentral:rRNA from 1 species